UGGACUACACGGGUUUCUAAUCCUGUUUGCUCCCCACGCUUUCGAGCCUCAACGUCAGUCAUCGUCCAGAAAGCCGCCUUCGCCACUGGUGUUCCUCCUAAUAUCUACGCAUUUCACCGCUACACUAGGAAUUCCGCUUUCCUCUCCGACACUCUAGCCUGACAGUUCCAAAUGCAGUCCCGGGGUUGAGCCCCGGGCUUUCACAUCUGGCUUGCCAUGCCGUCUACGCUCCCUUUACACCCAGUAAAUCCGGAUAACGCUUGCCCCCUACGUAUUACCGCGGCUGCUGGCACGUAGUUAGCCGGGGCUUCUUAGUCAGGUACCGUCAUUUUCUUCCCUGCUGAUAGAGCUUUACAUACCGAAAUACUUCAUCGCUCACGCGGCGUCGCUGCAUCAGGGU
rnacentral:misc_RNA from 1 species